UCUGGCAGGGGCGUGUCCCCUCCCGGAAAUGGCUUCACUCCCCGCCCCCCGGACAGCGCGCGGCGGCGUGCGGAGUUCGGCAUGAGCGUCCUUGCGAGGGGCGGCGUGGGGCCGCUGUGUGCGGCGGCUCGCGCGGUCAUUCCCUGUCUUUGGAGAGGGAAAUACUUCAGCUCCGGGAGAGAGCCGGCAGAAAACCAGGUGACACCAAUGCUGCGGCAUCUUAUAUACAAAAUCAAAGCAACUGGCCCCAUCACUGUGGCUGAGUACAUGAAGGAGGUCUUGACCAACCCUGCCAAGGGAUAUUAUGUGUACCGUGACAUGCUAGGAGAAAAAGGAGAUUUCAUUACUUCACCGGAAAUAAGUCAGAUCUUUGGGGAGCUGCUAGGUAUAUGGUUCAUUAGUGAAUGGAUGGCCGCCGGAAAAAACGCAGCUUUCCAGCUGGUGGAACUGGGCCCAGGCAGGGGUACCCUUGCGGGAGAUAUUUUGAGGGUCUUCAGUCAGCUUGGAUCUGUGCUGAAAAACUGUGACAUUUCAAUACAUCUGGUAGAGGUGAGCGAAAAAUUGAGUGAGAUUCAAGCAUUAACACUGACUGAAGAGAAGGUCCCGGUAGAGCGAAAUGCUGGAUCCCCCGUAUAUAUGAAAGGUGUUACUAAAUCUGGGAUUCCAAUCUCAUGGUACCGAGAUCUGCACGAUGUUCCAAAAGGGUACAGCUUUUAUCUUGCGCAUGAAUUUUUUGACGUUCUUCCUGUGCAUAAGUUUCAGAAAACACCACAAGGAUGGCGAGAAGUAGUCAUUGAUAUCGAUCCGCAAGUUUCUGAUAAGCUGCGGUUUGUUCUGGCGCCUUGUGUCACCCCAGCAGAAGUCUUCAUCCAACGUGAUGAGAUGCGGGACCAUGUGGAAGUGUGUCCUGAGGCCGGCGUUAUCGUUCAGGAGCUUUCUCAGCGCAUUGCAAUAGCUGGAGGUGCCGCACUGAUCGCGGAUUAUGGUCAUGAUGGAACAAAGACAGAUACCUUCCGAGGGUUUUGUGGCCACAAGCUUCAUGACGUCCUGACUGCCCCGGGAACAGCAGACCUCACAGCCGACGUGGACUUCAGUUAUCUGCGCAGAAUGGCAGAGGGACAAGUGGCUUCUCUAGGGCCAAUAAAACAACAGACGUUUUUAAAAAAUAUGGGCAUCGAUGUCCGGCUGAAGGUUCUUUUAGCCAAAUCAGAUGAGCCGGCCAGACAGCAGUUACUUCAAGGGUAUGAUAUGUUAAUGAACCCUAAGAAGAUGGGAGAAAGAUUUAACUUUUUUGCCUUGCUGCCUCAUCAGAGACUUCAUAGUAGAAGCCAUCCGAUGAAUGCGAGUCCAUCAAAACCCGCUGUGUCACCGGUAGCUGGGUUUGGCGAACUUGCCUGGCAGUGAGCUCAGUGAGGACAUUUUACCCCUAAGUCUGCAGAAAGCAAAAUAAAGGGAACACCUUUCACAUAUCACAGGUCAUGGUCCCCGGGGGUCGUGGGAUUUCCAGUCCCACGUCAGGCUCCAUAUUCAGUGUGGAGUUUGCUUGGGAUUCUCCCUCUCCCUCCUUCAAAAUAAGUAAGUAAAAUCUUAAAUCGAGUCCCAGCAAAACUAGCAAACCUAACAUGUACCUGAAAUAUGUUAAGAGUAAAUGUAGACUACAUAGCGGGAAUAAUUUUCUGAUUUGAGCUAAUUCUCCCUCAUUUUCAGAUAAAUGUCAAGUUUUCAUUCUGUAAGUUCUCAUUCUUUGGUUCACAGAACGUUUAUAUUACUACCAGAUGUAUACUUUCUGAAGAAUUGUUAUAUUGGCAAAACAAAUUUACAGUGAGAUUAAAGGAAAAGAGUAUUAGCCAUACGUUUUGAACUUACAGCUUAACCACACAUUGGGAGUUCACUGGCAGUGAUCAGCUCUCGGCUUUCUAUUGCUUGUUUGGUUUAACUCAGAACAGGACUAGCAUUCUGUAUCUCACUCUGAAGUAUGAAGGUAAACGGUUUAUUUUUCAUAUGCUGCCCCGCCUUGGGCCAUUUGUAGUCACCCUUAAUUUUUUCCAUAUUUUCUUUUAUCAAAGACUUGGCUGGAGAAUUUUUGGGAGCUGAAAAUGCCCAACAUUGGCCCCUCUCAAUUAUUUAAAAGUUUUUAUAAUUAAUGGGAGGAAUUAGGCAAUGCCUUGUAUCUUAAAACCUAGAAGGUUUACUUUGAAUGGCCUUUGGCUUAUUUAAGUCUUGUAGCAGUUACAAUAGUUGAAUAUUUGAUUAUAGCUCCUGAAAAAUUUAUAGUUGUUAUAAUUCUAAACUUUCAUGCCAAGAAAUAAGACCUCCAGAUAAUUACCUCAAAUUUCAUAUAAAAUUGAAAUGAUGAGUUUUUUAUUUUAGGUAGUUAAAAAAAAAAUCAGUGUUUUAAAUAUAGCAUUAGUUCCAUUUACAAAUACUAUUAUUUCCAAAAUAAUUCUUUUACCAAGGUCUGGGAAAAUAACACAACCAAAUAAAAUUUUCUUUGGAUACCUCUACUAGAGAUAGGCUCAGGUUUUCACAUAGAAAAGUAUGGUGAUAUGGAAAUACAUUUUAUUAUCAAGCUUCUUCGAGGAUAUUUACAAAAAGUGGGAUGUAACAAAAAAUAUAAAAAUGUACUGAACAGUGUCAUUAUAGACUACUUUGUACAUUAUCAAAUGCCUCUAACAAUUAUUUUCUUAUACAAAAACUUCAAGACCAAAAAAAAAAGGGUUAUGCAGGUUAUACAGGAUCUGGAGUAACUGACUCAACUCCAGAUUAUCUGACAGUGCCUUUACAAAUUUUUUUAGAAAACUUCUUAGGCAUUCAACAACACAAACAAAAAGAGUGCAAUUAAUUUCAUGGCUUGUAAAGUUUGAUUAUAGAAGUAUAGCAAACAUCAUUCCAGUUAAUUUUCACCUUAUGCAGUAAAACCACAAUAGGGUGCCUAGGGACUGAGAAUUACUCCAUUUUAGCAUGUUGGUAUAAACAGACUUACUUUGGACAGAUUUGGGGAAGUCAUCCUUUACCACAGAGAAAAUACAUUUCUAAAAGGUUUUGCAAAAUUUGAUUAAAUGCUUUAAACUCCUACAGGAGAAUGAAAUACUGAGAGACAUUGUGGAGGGUUUCCUGGAGGUGUGUAUGGGUAAGCAGUACAGCACAGUGCCGGGGCGGGGGCGUCAGAGGGACUGAGAUGGAGUUCAUAAUGUGCUCACUUUGUGGCUGUUGUGAGGGUAAGUAAAACUGUGUACAGAGCUCAGAAGAGGAGACUGCAUGUUGGCUACUCUCUCUGAAGUUUUAGUCCCAGAUAAUGGAGUAGCUUCAGGACUCUCUCAAGGCCCUCUCUGGCUUCGACUGUAUCCAGGGACAUUCUUUUCUUUGGCUAGCUCAGAUUCAGGGGGGCAAAGACAGUUAACACUGUCACAGUUUUUAGUUUAUGGAGUGUAAGUAUCCUCAUACCUAGCCUGUCUUCACAACAGCACUGUGAGGGAGGGAGAGGCAAGAACUAACUACGGUCUUCAUUGUAUAGACUGAGGGUCCUGAGGCUCAGACAGAUUGGAGCCAAGACUUAAGACGGGAUUUUCUGUCUCCAAAUCUUUUGCUCUUUUUGGGGGGGGAAAGUUUACAGUGAUUACUGUGGAAUGAAGAAACAAAAAGCCACUAUUUUUUUAAAAAUAAGUCGAUGGUCCCAGAUCUUAAACUUUUUUGGGGGAGAAAGCUAUUAGUAACUUUUUAAAAGCUAUGAAAAAGUCUAACCUCUUAAACAUUAUAUCUGAGUAGAAAAACACUUCUCUAGCGGGCUGCUGGUGCCGAAGUGUUAAAAAAAAAUAUAUAUGUAAGGAUAGGGCUACAGUAUCAGCAGAGCAAAUGAAAGGAUAAAUUGUUUCAUGCUCCACCCCACCCACUCCCCCAAACUGCUUAAAAUAAUUUAAAAACAUUCCUGAUAUCUGUAAAGCCUUCCAAUAAACUAAGGGAAGAAAAAAAGGAUACACUGUUCUUCUCCGUAGCAUUAACUGAUCCUGCACUGGCCUUACUUUUAAUAAUUUUCUUCCUCAAAUUAUCCAACUCUGUGUAAAGAUAAACUGUGUAAUCCCAGUUCAGAUCUAUACUCCCUGAACGAUGGAAGGCAGCUGUGGCACAACAGUGGCGUCAGUGGGAACGGGAGUACACAGCAGAGGAGCUGAGCGAGGAGCAGACAGACCAGCAGGCCCUCCUCCCGGUCCUGUGACACCAGUUGUCCCAAAUUAUCUCAGAGGCCGUUCCAACAUACAAAAGGGGACUAACUUAAUCUUUAUGUUGUAGAGAGCGUAUUAAGAAUUCAGCUCCAAAGGUUAGGGACCUAACCUAACCUAACCUUUUUUUAGGUCACUGACCUAAAAAAAAAAAAAAAAAAA